UAGGGAUAUUGAAGAUAAGAGCACG
rnacentral:piRNA from 2 species